GAGCACGCCGGCCGCCAGGCGCCCGUACAGCUGCUCCAGUAGCUCCUCCGGCCGGUCCGCGCAGCCCCGCGGCCGCGCGGGGCGCCUGCCCGCCCUCGGGGCGCCCGCGGCCCAGCUCGGCGGCAGCGCCAGCAGGAAGCCGGCUACCAGCAUCCAGACCUGAGGGACAGGCCACGCUCAGCGUCCGCACGCGCCGGAGGAGCCCGCCUGCGCCCCGCGCCCGUGUCCCGCCCGCGGCGCCCGGAGCCGGCGGGCGCCUCCCCUCGCCCCGCGGAGCCAGAGGCCGGCCCGGAGGAUGGGAGCCGCGCGGGCGGGCCCCAGAGCGCCCUCCCCGCCUGCCCGCCGCCCGCGGGGUCCCCGGGGCCCAGCCCGGCGCCGGCCCGCGCGCCCCCGGCCCCCGCCGCCGCCGCCGCCCCGAGCCGGGGGCCGCACGGGGGGCGGGUGCGGGGCGCGCGUGCACGUGUGCGUGUGCCUGCCGGGUUGCUGCGCCGCGGGCUGCGAGUGCUUGUGACCCGCCGCACCCUCACCCCCGGGCGCGCCAUCCCUGCUCCGCCGCCAGCGAGGGAGCCCCGGAGCCUAAGACGCCCGGACCCGCCGCCUCGCAGACCCACCCUUGCCCCUGCGCCUCGUCAUCCGCCCGCCCCAGCCAGCCCGCGCAGGGUCCGCGGCCCGCUUUUCCGCGAGAAGCCCCCUGUGGUCUUUCCUCGUACCCGGGGACUCGGACCGAGAAGCCGACUGAGCGAGGUCGCCGCCCGGCCUCACGGACACAGAGCGACUCUGCACCUUUCGCCUCCAGGAGCUGAAAACAUUUUGUCACUUGUGCAGUGUACUCACCAGUGCCCCCAACAUCUUCUCCCCCGAAAGCGCUUUCAGAUUCGCGCCGAGAUGGGGCGACGCGGCGGCUCUUGAGCGGAAUAACCCGAAGGGCCACGCAAACUGGGGCUUCCAGCCGCGAGCAUGCGGCGGGGCGCCCAGGGCCUGGGGUCGCGCGCUCAGGGCCUGUGCUGCGCCACGCAGGAGGAGGAGAGGGCUGGCCCUGCCGGGCGCGGGUGCGGGCCCGACUGGCUGAAGGAGGAGUGGGGACUGGCUUGGAAGUCUCCGAAGCAGAAAAGUGGGGCCGACAGGAUGGAAUUGGGGGAGGCCGAUUUUGGCUCAGAGAGAUUUCUCUAUUAAGGAAAGCAGUCCAAGAAUAGGCCCCCUGGAAGAGGAAUGCGCUCAAACCCAGAGGGAUUCUCCUUAGAGCUACCUCUUGAGAUUCUGUACUUCGAGGAAAUUAGAGGUUUUUUUAAAUCUCUAUUUUUAAUAAGGUGGGAGGAGGCUGUUGCUCCUUUCUCCUCAACAACAUGAAAUGAUCCUGUGCCUCUAUCCAACAACUCUACAACAAAGCACUGAAUACUUCCCUGACUGGCACUUUCAUGGCUGUUCAUGGGCAUCUCUUGGUCUAUGACGACGAUGUUGGAGAGUUCCUACUCCGUGAUAACUCAGUUCUAAGUGCAAGCAGUCACGUGAAAUGAGCCUGAUAGUCUGCGAAUGAAGAAACUAAAACGAACUAUAUUAUAUACUUCAUAACACAAGACAACGUGCUCGUUUGUUCAUUCUGCAAGUAAAUGCUUAAUGCUUCCUAGGUGGCAGGCUAAAGAAUAUGAUCAUUUUAAAGCAGUCAUGCUUUGAAAAUAAACAACCCAUCCCAGCUGUAAGCUUUUUGAAAGUGUACAAAAUAUGUAAUUGAUGACUCCCUAAAUGGUUUGCAGCUUUGGUAUUUGACUGAAUUGUAAACCAUUAGUUAAACUACAUUUCAGUUAUGCUUU
rnacentral:lncRNA from 1 species